AUUCAUUGGCCUCUGUGUGAUGUAGAGAGCUUGGAUGAUGUGUUAUGUGCCUUUUAUUAGAUAAAGAAGCAAGGAAUGAAUAUCACUUUCAAUUAGGGCUCAGUUGCUGUUAUCACCAGCUUUAUAUCAUUCUAAAACAGACAUGACUUUAUAGAACUUCAUAAUUUUUUAAUAUGUAUGUAAUUCCUCUUGUCCCUUUGAUUAAUACCCAGGAUCAUAUACAUAUCAUUAAUUGGGUUAGUUUCUAUUAUGUUCAUUAAUUAAGGAGGACAGGACUUGGGUAUAUCUUUUUAUAAUUUUAGGAUGAGAUGCAAGGAUGUUAUGGGUUUAUUGGAGCAAAGGAUGGUAUCUCUCCUCUCCCUGGCCCUGAAUUUAAUGAGCUUCCUUCUAGCACCUUUUUUUUCCCUUACUCUGAUGCUUUACAUUUAUCAUUGGUUGUACCCACAUCUCUCAUCAGGCCUUAAGUUUAGAUCUUGUUUGAAUAACCUUUUUUUGUAUGUUUUUUCUAAAAGAAGAAAAUAAAAAAAAAAAAGACGUUGAUUUUCUCUAUAAAGUAAAAUGAAUUUAAUUAAGUGCAUAAGUUGAUUCUAGUGUAAAAGUGGAGCUUAAUUCAUUUUACCAGAAACCUUAGAUUUUGAAUGGAUAAUGUCGCAUUUACCUUCUAUUUCUUAGUUUGGUUGUGUUUGACUUGCAUGAUUAUGGUCAGGUACCCACAAUCAAUCAGGAGACUGGGAUAUCUGGAUCUGAGCCAACUGAGACUCUUAUGAAAACUAGGUCUGGCAAAGUCCUUAGACCAGAUGCAAAAAAUAAAAACAAGGUAUACUUUGGUCAGAAUAUAGUAUGGAACUGGAUGGAUUCUUCUGCUACAGGGAGUGGAAAAAUCAUUCGAGUUGGAGAUCCUGUUUAUGUUCUUAGAAAGGUCUCUUCUGCAGCCGAAGCAGCUGCCUGAACUGUGUACGUAGAAUCUGCAGGAUUCUAAUACCAGCAAUUAAAGUGCUGCAAUUACAAACUUUAUAAAACAUUAGCCUAUUAAAUUUCCACCAUUCUUAUAAAAUAUAAUAUACACUUUAGUUUUGUAUGUCUAAUUCAAUAAAUAUCUUUGUAUCUGUGUUUGUUUCCA